UUUAUUUUUGCCUUUCUGAUAAUUUUACUGCCAUAAUUUCAGUUGAUGUAUUUUCCUUUGCAUUAUGCAGAUUUAUGUCAUUGAGUCCCUUAUUUUGAAAAUCUAAGGAGGGAACUUUGUUGGGGCAAAUUGGUUCUGCUGGCACACCUGUGAUAGGUACACACCUGUGUGAGAGGCUUGCCAGUUGUGAAGCGUGAGAUGGGUUAUAGCCAGAGGGGCUGCUUUGAGUUGGAGAAAGUCAAAGGAUGCCUGAUUGGUUGAUUUCCUCAUUUCUACUUCUACGCAUGGGUCAGCCAGCAUGUAUGUUUACAUGUUAUGUAACUUUAUUUGUUUUGCUGUCUUGCUGUUACAAUGAGUUUAUGUUGUAUUUUAGUUCAUGUGAUGCUGUAACAAUCAAGACUGUACAUCCCAAAAUAAAGUCAACAUCAUGCCAUCAGUAAAA